rnacentral:rRNA from 1 species
AACGAACGCUGGCGGCAUGCCUAACACAUGCAAGUCGAACGAGACCUUCGGGUCUAGUGGCGCACGGGUGCGUAACGCGUGGGAACCUGCCCUUAGGUUCGGAAUAACUCCCCGAAAGGGGUGCUAAUACCGGAUAAUGUCUUCGGACCAAAGAUUUAUCGCCUUUGGAUGGGCCCGCGUUGGAUUAGCUAGUUGGUAGGGUAAAAGCCUACCAAGGCGACGAUCCAUAGCUGGUCUGAGAGGAUGAUCAGCCACACUGGGACUGCGACACGGCCCAGACUCCUACGGGAGGCAGCAGUGGGGAAUAUUGGACAAUGGGCGAAAGCCUGAUCCAGCAAUGCCGCGUGAGUGAUGAAGGCCUUAGGGUUGUAAAGCUCUUUUACCCGGGAUGAUAAUGACAGUACCGGGAGAAUAAGCUCCGGCUAACUCC